CUUGAUCGACCCGAGCCAGAGCGGACGGUCGGCCGGCCGGUCCUGCCCGUACGUGGCGAUGAGGGCCUGCGCCUC
rnacentral:antisense_RNA from 1 species